CUGAAGGAUUCUACAUGAAAUUUUCCUAUUUUGUAUUUUAGCCGGAAAAAAACGUACGGUGACCCUAUCUUUUCUUUUGAUAUUCUCAAAGCAUUGUCUGAAAGCUAUCUUUUCCUUAAGUAUUUAACAAUUCUAUCAUUUUGUUUAGUUUCUAAUCACAAAAUGGUGUUUUUUCAUGUAUAAUCCAUACAAAAUGUGUUAUUUUGUCACGUCCUGUAGCUUGAGAAAAUGCAUGGUGACCUAUCAUUUUUAUGAUAUUUUUCAACAUAUAUCAAUAGAAACUAUGUUUUGGCAAAGUAUGAACAAAUUCUAUCAUUUUUAUUUUAGACUCCC
rnacentral:lncRNA from 1 species